rnacentral:rRNA from 1 species
UACGAAGGGGGCUAGCGUUGUUCGGAAUUACUGGGCGUAAAGCGUAUGCAGGCGGACUUUUAAGUCGGGCGUGAAAUCCCACGGCUCAACCGUGGAAGUGCACCCGAAACUACGUAGCUAGAGUCCUGGAGAGGAAGGUGGAAUGCUUGGUGUAGAGGUGAAAUUCGUAGAUAUCAAGCGGAACACCGGUGGCGAAGGCGGCCUUCUGGACAGUGACUGACGCUGAGACGCGAAAGCGUGGGGAGCAAACAGG